UCAACCCAUUUAACCUUUUAACCCAUCAAAUUAAAUGAGUUAAUGGGUUGACUCAACUCAUUUGCUAACUGCGUUGAGUCAACCCAUGAACUCAUUUAACUCUAAACUCAUUGGGUAAUGAGU
rnacentral:pre_miRNA from 1 species